CUGAACUACAGAAUGUCUGAGCCAGCUGGCCUAGUAGUGCAUUCUCCGCCUUUUCCCCGCUCCCAUAAAAAACACUCCCCGAAGCCGAUGUCCCGCCACCGUCACCGGCCCCCUCCGCCGCCGCCGCCGCCGCCGCCGCCGGGUGGCAGCUGAAGAAGAUGGGGAGAAACUAUAGAAUGAGAGUGUCUUCUUGAUUUUUACGAUAUGGAUGGUGUGGUCUCAAAAUGAGAGAUCGUAUUCUGCCCCAAUGUGGAAAGUAUGGAUAUAAAGUGACAUAUAUUUUGUUUUCUGGUGGAAGCUCGGUUGGAUUAAUUCUGGGAAAGCUUAAUUUCAGGCUCAAUUUGGGUACGGUGGUGGGCAACUAGAAUUUGCAGGAAGAGAAUUGAGCAUCUUGUGAUAUUGGGUACAUGUUGAUUGAUGCUUCGUUUGUUGUUAUAUUUGUUAUUGUUUCUGUUUUGUUGAUUCCAUACGUUUGUUAACGCUUUGGUUCUUGUAACAAAUAGUUCGAUCUUCAUAGAUUUUUUUUUUUUUUUGGUGUAAUAAACAUUUCGAGUUAUCCAAUUCAACUCCUUGAUGAUUAUUUGUGGGAA